UACGGGGGGGGCAAGCGUUGUUCGGAAUUACUGGGCGUAAAGGGCUCGUAGGUGGCCAACUAAGUCAGACGUGAAAUCCCUCGGCUUAACCGGGGAACUGCGUCUGAUACUGGAUGGCUUGAGUUUGGGAGAGGGAUGCGGAAUUCCAGGUGUAGCGGUGAAAUGCGUAGAUAUCUGGAGGAACACCGGUGGCGAAGGCGGCAUCCUGGACCAACACUGACACUGAGGAGCGAAAGCCAGGGGAGCGAACAGG
rnacentral:rRNA from 1 species